GUCGGUGUCAGCUGCUUCGUAGUUUAUAUGUACCUGAAUCAGAGAAAAAUGUGGUAUUUCAACUCGGGAUUCUUGAUGAAGGCGAACUUUUUGGCGCUGAAGGCCUGAUGAAUGAGAGUCGCAGUUUACACAGUGUAGUUGCCAUGGGAAUAGUCACGUGUUUUAGAAUCAAAAAGUAAAAUUGAUUUUGACAGCGUUGCUAGGGAGCCAUUAUUAAAAUUGUUACGUGCCUAUACGAAAUCCACCUAUAUCGGUGACGUGGCGGUGAAGAACUAUGGGUAUGACAAGUCGGUUUGGGAGGAAUAUAAACGUCAGGAAGUGAUCACGUCACUGAUAAAAAAGCCGGGAGGAGAACAAAUUAUAAGCAAAAUAAUUCCACAUGAUGUAAAUAUCAAGAAGCG